UAUAUUCAUAAGAGAAAUGUCGAUUUAAUUUAUUCGGCAGUAAAGCAUCCGAUGAAGAUCCGACUUUGGAACACAGAGACGUUCGAGAAUCUUAAUAGGAGCGUGAUCUGUUGGUUAGAUGGAGACAUUUCAAAUGGUGAAAAGAUCGGAAGAAUUCAGAGGCUAGUUACGAUGUACAACGAAAAUGGAGAAAGUCGUUUAUGGGACUUUGUUAAAAUUGACAGAGAUGUUCGCA
rnacentral:lncRNA from 1 species